rnacentral:tRNA from 1 species
CAGGGAAUAGUUUAAUUUAAAAUAUUAAUUUUGGGGAUUAAUGAUAGAUUGAUAUAUCUUUCUCUGA